rnacentral:rRNA from 1 species
AGGCACGCUGGCGCUAGGUGAAGUGGUUUACCCAUGGAGCUGAAGCCAGUCGCAGAUACCAGCUGGCUGCAACUGUUUAUUAAAAACACAGCACUGUGCAAACACGAAAGUGGACGUAUACGGUGUGACGCCUGCCCGGUGCUGGAAGGUUAAUUGAUGGGGUUAUCCGUAAGGAGAAGCUCUUGAUCGAAGCCCCAGUAAACGGCGGCCGUAACUAUAACGGUCCUAAGGUAGCGAAAUUCCUUGUCGGGUAAGUUCCGACCUGCACGAAUGGCGUAAUGAUGGCCAGGCUGUCUCCACCCGAGACUCAGUGAAAUUGAACUCGCUGUGAAGAUGCAGUGUACCCGCGGCAAGACGGAAAGACCCCGUGAACCUUUACUAUAGCUUGACACUGAACAUUGAGCCUUGAUGUGUAGGAUAGGUGG